rnacentral:sRNA from 1 species
GGAAACUUCGUGGCUUGCAUGACAGCUAUUUUACGACAAAUGGAAGAUUACCAUUAUGCCCACUUGAUCAAGACUUUUGGGAAAAUGAGGACUGAUGUGGUAGAUUUCCUAAUGGAAACAUUCAUCAUGUUUAAGAACCUCAUUGGAAAGAACGUUUACCCCUUCGACUGGGUGAUCAUGAACAUGGUGCAAAAUAAAGUCUUCCUGCGAGCAAUUAAUCAGUAUGCAGAUAUGCUGAACAAAAAAUUUCUGGAUCAAGCCAACUUUGAGCUACAGCUGUGGAACAACUACUUUCACCUGGCUGUUGCUUUCCUUACUCAAGAGUCCCUGCAACUGGAGAAUUUUUCAAGUGCCAAGAGAGCCAAAAUCCUUAACAAGAGCUUUGAAUGGACUGAAGUGGCACCUUCUAUCAUUGUAAAUAAACCUCUCCAAAGCUCCAUGAAAGCCGAGAUCCUUGCCGGCUCCUCCAGCUCUGUAACCCCAGUUUGCAUCAUGCACCGCUCAUGACUCAGUAUCAAGAAGCACCAUUGUUGCAUGGGUUUCCUUCCCCUGUUUGGACACCCGGAGGGUCUUGCUUCGUCUCUUUCUGCCUCCGUUUCACUAAUUUCUCACUGCUGUCGGUGUUCCUUUCAUAAGUCCUUUUGAGAAGAGUUCUGAAAUUGCUUUGGUGUUGCCAUCAGUCUCUGUCAUUUUAUAAAUACCUCUGCAAUAUCUCGACUGUUCUAAGGCUUGGCCAACUCCAUGCUGCUAGCUGAGGUUAGAGAUUCCAG